UACGUAUGGAGCAAGCGUUAUCCGGAUUUACUGGGUGUAAAGGGUGCGUAGGCGGCACAGCAAGUCAGAUGUGAAAGACCGGGGCUCAACCCCGGGGCUGCAUUUGAAACUGCCGAGCUUGAGUCCGGGAGAGGCAGGCGGAAUUCCUAGUGUAGCGGUGAAAUGCGUAGAUAUUAGGAGGAACACCAGUGGCGAAGGCGGCCUGCUGGACCGGAACUGACGCUGAGGCACGAAAGCGUGGGG
rnacentral:rRNA from 1 species